GUGCCAGCCGCCGCGGUAAUACGGAAGGUCCGGGCGUUAUCCGGAUUUAUUGGGUUUAAAGGGAGCGCAGGCGGAGGCUUAAGCGUGACGUGAAAUGUAGCCGCUCAACGGCUGAGUUGCGUCGCGAACUGGGUUUCUUGAGUGAGUGCGACGUCAGCGGAAUUCGUGGUGUAGCGGUGAAAUGCUUAGAUAUCACGAAGAACCCCGAUUGCGAAGGCAGCUGACGAGCCCUUUACUGACGCUAAAGCUCGAAGGUGCGGGUAUCGAACAGGAUUAGAUACCCUGGUAGUCCGCACGGUAAACGAUGGAUGCCCGCUGUUGGCGACACACUGUCAGCGGCCAAGCGAAAGCGUUAAGCAUCCCACCUGGGGAGUACGCCGGCAACGGUGAAACUCAAAGGAAUUGACGGGGGCCCGCACAAGCGGAGGAACAUGUGGUUUAAUUCGAUGAUACGCGAGGAACCUUACCCGGGCUUGAACUGCAGGUGAACGAUCCAGAGAUGGUGAGGCCCUUCGGGGCACCUGUGGAGGUGCUGCAUGGUUGUCGUCAGCUCGUGCCGUGAGGUGUCGGCUUAAGUGCCAUAACGAGCGCAACCCCUUUCGCCAGUUGCCAUCAGGUGAUGCUGGGCACUCCGGCGACACUGCCACCGCAAGGUGUGAGGAAGGUGGGGAUGACGUCAAAUCAGCACGGCCCUUACGUCCGGGGCUACACACGUGUUACAAUGGGGAGUACAGAGAGUCAGGCGUUGGCAACACCGCCUUAAUCAGGAAAGCUCUCCUCAGUUCGGAUUGGGUCUGCAACCCGACCCCAUGAAGCUGGAUUCGCUAGUAAUCGCGCAUCAGCCAUGGCGCGGUGAAUACGUUCCCGGGCCUUGUACACACCGCCCGU
rnacentral:rRNA from 1 species